GAGGGUUUAGCUCAGUGGUAGAGCGCAUGCUCAGCAUGCUCGAGGUCAUGGGUUCAAUCCCUACUACCUCCA
rfam:Camelus ferus unplaced genomic scaffold scaffold731, whole genome shotgun sequence.